CUAGUUGUAUAUCUGAGGUGUUAUCGUAGUGUUGAAGUUGUUUGAGGUGGUGUUUUGUUCUAGGUGGAGUUCUCUGGACAUUCUCUCUUGCUAGGUUGUGAUCAGAUCUAGCCUUAGAUAGAAUAAAAUGGAACCUACUCAAGGCAAGUUUGAAGUAGAUAAGUUUGAUGGGGAUGGUGAUUUUUCCAUAUGGAAGCAUAGAGUGUUAGCUCAGCUGGAAAUUCUUGGUCUGGAAUCAGUACUAAAGAUUGAUGGGGUUACUGUUUCUGAGAAAGAUCAAGGAAUGCUAGAAUCAGAUCCUAAGUGGUUAGCUAAGGACAGGAGAGUCAGAAAUCUGCUAGGCAUGAGCGUGACUGACAUGGUCUUGAGAAAAGUAAUGAAACAUCGCACUGCACAAGCUAUGUGGGAAGCUUUAGAAGCUCAAUAUCAAGACAAGUCUCUGCCAAACAGAUUCUAUCUCAAGCAAAGAUUCUACAGUUUCAAGAUGGAAGAGGAUAAAAAUCUAGACAAGAAUCUGGAUGUGUUCAACAAGUUGAUUUCAGAUUUAGCAAGUCUAGAUGUGGAAGUAAGUGAUGAAGAUCAAGCUGUUAUUGUUCUUAACAGCUUGCCAUCACAGUUUGCUCAGCUAGUCCACACUCUGAAGUAUAGAGGAGGAAAGGAGACUAUAACCCUCAAGGAGAUUACUCAGUCUGCCUACUCUCUUGAAACAGAACUGAAACAAAAGGGGAACUAUUUGGGUAAAACCAGUGGUGAAGGUCUCUAUGUUCAGCACAAGCCAAAAGCUGAGAAGAAGUCUAAUCCAAAGAAGCAAGCUAGUAAAGGAAAAGAAAAGACUAAGGUUAAAGCUAAGGCAUGUUGGAUAUGUGGAGCUGAGGGACAUUUCAAGAAAGACUGUCCAAAGAAGAACCAAUACAGUAAUGCAGAAGCAAGUGUUGGUCAGGGCAUUGACUCAGAACCUAUGAUGUUGAGUGCUUCAGAAUCACAAACAAGAGAUGGUUGGGUACUUGACUCAGGAUGCUCAUAUCAUUUGACCUACAGAAAGGAUCUCAUGUUUGAUCUGGAAGAGAUAAAUGGGGGAAGGAUCCUUAUGGGAAAUGAUACAUACUGUGAUAUCACCGCUAUAGGGAAAGUGAAGAUUGUUAAUUAUGACAACACCAUUGUCAUAUUAACAAAGGUAAGGUACUCUCCAACAGCUAAAAGGAACCUGAUUUCUUUGGGACAGUUGGAGUCACAAGGCUGCUGGUUUCAGUCUAAGAACUUCAGACUUCAAGUGUUCUAUGAUGGGAAAGAAGCUUUAGCAGGAGAGUACAAAGAUACACUCUAUAUCUUGGAUGGGAAACCAGUUGUUGAGCAAGCAAACUCAGCCACUAGGAAGGAAGAUCAGACAAUGUUAUGGCACAGCAGGUUGGGACAUAUGAGUACAAAGGGUUUACAAUUGUUGGCUAAGAAGGAGUUGAUAAAGUCAGAAAUCUCAGAGUUAACAAAUUGUGAAUAUUGUGUUCUGGGAAAGUUUCACAAGCUGUCUUACAAAACAGGAAAGCAUACUUCUAAGGAACGACUGGAGUAUGUUCACUCUGAUCUUUGGGGGUCUCCAAAUGUUACUCCAAGCCUAUCAAGAUGUCAGUACUAUAUCUCUUUUGUAGACGACUACUCAAGGAAGGUGUGGGUGUAUUUUCUUAAAACUAAGGAUGAAGCUUUCAGCAAGUUUGUUGAGUGGAAAGUUCUGGUUGAGAAUCAGUGUGGAAAGAAACUAAAAACCCUAAGGACUGACAACGGUCUUGAGUACUGCAACAAGGCAUUUGAUGAUCACUGCAAAACUCAUGGUAUUCUCAGACAUAAGACGUGUCCCUACACUCCACAGCAGAAUGGGAUUGCUGAGAGAUUAAACAGGACAAUCUUGGAGAAAGUAAGAAGUUUGCUGCGUGAAACAGGUUUGGGAGAAACAUUUUGGGCUGAAGCUACUUCAACUGUUGUUUAUAUGAUAAACAGGACACCAUCAACUCCUUUGAACUUUGAGGUUCCAGAACAGCUUUGGACAGGUUCAAAACCAGAUUAUGAGCAUAUGAAGAGAUUUGGUUGUUUGGUGUAUUAUCAUGUGGAUCAGGGAAAGCUAAAGCCAAGAGCCAAGAAGGGGAUUUUCAUGGGAUAUCCACAAGGAGUCAAGGGCUACAGAAUUUGGAGUCAAGAAGAAAGGAGAUGCAUCAUCAGCAGAGAUGUUACAUUUUGGGAAGAUACUCUCUACAAAGACAUUGGAAAGGAAACUGGGGAUUCUGAAAGAGUAACUACUUCAAAAGGAAAGGAAAAGGUUGACGUUACACUAUCAGAAGAAACAGGCAGAAAUGUUGAAAUUAGAGAGCAAGGUGAAUCUUCCACUGGAGGUGGAGCUACUUCAGGUAGUAGAGAUGAAGAUGGUUCCAGUCAAGCUCAAGAACCUGGAAAUUCAUCUCCUGAGCUUGGUAACUAUCUUUUAACCAGAGAUAGAGCUAGAAGAACAAUCAAACCACCAAGUAGGUUUGAUGACUGUGAUGUGGCAGCCUAUGCACUUUUUAUGGCUGAUGUUGUAGAGGUUGAAGAGCCAUGGACCUUUAAAGAAGCCAUGGGAGGGAAGAACAAGUCAUUUUGGGAAGGUGCAACAGAUGAGGAGAUGGCCUCACAUGAAAAGAAUCAGACUUGGAAACUAAUAGAGAGACCAGAAGGGCAGAAGGUGAUUGGAUGUAAAUGGGUAUUCAAGUUAAAACCAGGGAUAACAGGGGUUGAAGAGCCAAGGUUUAAGGCGAGAUUGGUAGCAAAGGGAUAUGCACAGGUUGAGGGGAUUGAUUACAAUGAAGUUUUCUCACCUGUGGUAAAGCAUACAACCAUCCGGUUAAUGUUAUCAAUGGUGGUUAAAGAAGAUUUUGAGUUAGAACAGUUGGACGUCAAAACAGCUUUCUUACAUGGAAAUCUCGAGGAAAGGAUACUUAUGGAACAGCCUGAAGGGUACUCUAAAGGGGAGAAUAAAGUCUGUUUACUUCAAAAAUCUCUGUAUGGGCUCAAGCAGUCACCAAGGCAAUGGAACUUGCGGUUUGAUAAGUUUAUGAAGGCACAGAAGUUUUCAAGAAGUGAUUAUGAUUCUUGUGUGUACUUCAAGUGUUAUGAUGAGGGGAAAUAUGUUUAUCUACUUCUCUAUGUAGAUGACAUGUUAGUUGCGGCUAAAGAUCCAACAGAAGUAGAAAGGGUAAAGGAGCUUCUGAGCAGAGAAUUUGAAAUGAAAGAUUUGGGACCAGCAAGAAGAAUUCUAGGGAUGGAUAUUGUCAGAGACAGGGCAAAAGGUACUCUAACACUAUCCCAAGAAACCUAUAUUGAGAAAGUCCUAAGGAAUUUUGGAAUGGCUGAUGCACAGCCAGUUCAAACCCCAAUGGGAUGUCAUUUCAAACUAUCUAGGACUCCAGAAGAAGAUAGAACUGAAACAGAAGUAAAGAUGAGGAACAUACCUUAUGCUUCUGCAGUCGGGAGCCUGAUGUACGCAAUGGUCGGAACGCGUCCUGACAUUGCACACGCUGUUGGUCUGGUUAGCCGCUUCAUGAGCUCACCUAACAUACAACAUUGGGAAGCGGUUAAAUGGAUAUUAAGAUAUCUAAGAGGAAGUUCGAAUUGUCGAUUGACUUUCAAGAAAUCUGACAAGUUCGAAGUAAAGGGAUUUUGUGACAGCGAUUACGCUACUGACAUUGAUCGAAGAAGGUCCAUCACAGGCUACGCUUUCCAAGUGGGUGGCAAUACGGUCAGCUGGAGGUCAGGGCUGCAAUCAAUCGCAUCAUUAUCAUCAACGGAAGCAGAGUAUAUGGCCUUAGCAGAGGCAACAAAAGAAGCUUUGUGGGUUAAGAGGAUUACCAGUGAGCUGGGUUAUCCGCAACGAGCAGCCGAGAUCUUCAGUGACUCGCAAAGUGCGAUCUGCUUAGCCAAGAACAGCGUCUUCCACGAAAGAACAAAACACAUCCAGGUGAAGUAUCACUUCAUUAGAGACGUGAUAGCAGAGGGGGAUGUAAUUGUGACGAAGAUUGAUACAAGCAUCAAUCCAGCAGACUUCCUCACAAAAUCUUUACAGGUGAAGAAGUUUGAGGAUGCAAGAAGUGAUCUGAGAGUACUCAGACACUAAAUCUAGCUCGGAUCGAAAGAGCUAGGGUUCCGGCGGAUGGUCGGAACAAAGGAGAAGGAAAA
rnacentral:lncRNA from 1 species